rnacentral:rRNA from 1 species
AUUGAACGCUGGCGGCAGGCCUAACACAUGCAAGUCGAACGAGUGGCGGACGGGUGAGUAAUGUCUGGGAAACUGCCCGAUGGAGGGGGAUAAAUACUGGAAAAGGUAGCUAAUACCGCAUACCAUCGGAUGUGCCCAGAUGGGAUUAGCUAGUGGGUGGGGUAACGGCUCACCUAGGAGACGAUCCCUAGCUGGUUGGAGAGGAUAACCAGCAACACUGGAACUGAGAAACGGUCAAGACUCCUAAGGGAGGCAGCAUUGGGGAAUAUUGCACAAUGGGCGCAAGCCUGAUGCAGCCAUGCAGCGUGUAUGAAGAAGGCCUUCGGAUUGUAAAGUACUUUCAGCGGGGAGGCGUUACUCGCAGAAGAAGCAGCGGCUAACUCCGUGCCAGCAGCCGCGGUAAUUC